rnacentral:misc_RNA from 1 species
AACUGAUACUACCUGCGGGAACCUGCGGAAGGAUCAUUAAAAAAAUGAAGCCGGCCAAAAGGUCGGCAUCAUAAUCCUUUAAUACCUAUGUGCACUUAUUGAACCUUUUUGCUUUGGCAGGAGAAAUCCUGCCAGAGGUAUCCCAUCAAAACCUGAAUGUUUUGACUGACCUUUAUUUCAAAUAAAAUUUUGAAUACAACUUUUAACAACGGAUCUCU